UUAUCCAUGCUUUCAUAAGCAGGAAUGAGUACCCUUCAUCCUUUAGUAAAGAAGACAAGCGUUCCCUGAGGCGGAGAGUUAAAUGCUUUGAUGCAAUGGAUGGAGAAUUGUACUAUGUUGGAUCUACCCGUGAUGAGAAGAGGCUUGUUGUGGAAGACAAGGAGCAGAGGAAAAGGAUUAUAGGAGCAAUCCAUGAUCCAAGUCAUAUGGGAGUCAACAGAACAUUGGACAUGAUCACAGCCAAGUAUUAUUGGCCUGGUCAAACAAAUGAAGUCAAAGAAUAUGUAAGUGAAGCCGGACUUUACUAUAUAUUAUUGCUUUUAGUGUAUUUGCAUGAUCUACUUAUUUCUUAUAGGUGAAAACAUAUACCAAGUGCCAGUGUACCAAUCCUAGACUACUAAAACCAGCAUCAACUCUCCACCCAAUACCAGUGACACCAAAGGUUUGGCAUACAGUUGGGAUGGAUUUGAUUGGCCCUCUGACAGAGACACCCAGGGGCAACAAGUAUGUCAUAACGCUCACCGACUAUUUCAGCAAGUGGGCGGAAGCAGCCCCACUACCAGACAAGACAGCACAUGGAGUAGCUAAAUUCCUUUAUUCUGUUAUGUGCAGAAUGGGCUGUGCAGAAGUCAUCAUCACUGACCAGGGUCGGGAAUUCGUCAACUCACUCUCAGCCCAGUUGUACCAGAAAACCAACACCCAGCAUAGAAUCACUAGCGCUUACCACCCUCAGACAAAUGGAUUAACUGAGCGGUUUAACCAGACUCUUUCUAGGUGUUUGGCUAAGACUGUGAAUGACAACCAAGAUAACUGGGACGAGAAGAUCAACACGAUUCUCAUGGGGUAUAGGGCAUCGCGUCAGGCAUCGAUUAAGCAUUCUCCUUACUUCAUGCUCUUCCAAGCUGAGAUGCGUUUGCCGAUUGAUAGUGAGCUACUGCCCGGUCAGCCUGAAGAAAGAACCCCAGAAGAAGUUAUUGAGCAUCUUUUGAAGAGCCGUGAAGAAGUGUUCACAACAGCUGAAGCCAACAUCAAGUCAGCACAAGGCAAACAAAAAGAAACGUAUGACAGAAAACACCAGCAAGUCAGCACACUUAGCGUAGGUAUGAAAGUUUUGCUGGAGAAUACUGCUCAAAAGCAGAGAAGGGAGGAAAACUGGACUCAAGAUGGCUAGGUCCAUAUUUCAUCAACCGAGAUUUAGGUAAGGGCUUAUAUGAGCUAAAAAACCUUUCUGGUCAAAUACUCAAGAAGAAGGCGAAUGUCUGUCGGCUGAAGUUGUUUAAUGAAAGGAGCUUGUCUAGAGACAAUAAACAGCCACCAGAAGGCGAUCGGCCACCAGAGAAAGACGACCAACAGCCACCAGAGAGAGACGACCAACAGCC